rnacentral:tRNA from 1 species
GUCCUUGUAGUUCAGUAGGUAGAACGCUAGACUGUUAAUCUAGAUGCCGUAGGUUCAAGUCCUACCAGGGACG